AACGAACGCUGGCGGCAGGCUUAACACAUGCAAGUCGAACGGAUCCAUCGUGAUUAGUUGCUGACGGGUGAGUAACGCGGGGGAACGUACCCUUUUCUACGGAAUAACUCAUUGUAACGGGGGCUAAUGCCGGAUGUGCCCUACGGGGAAAAGAUUUAUCGGCAAAGUAUCGGCCCGCGUUGGUUUAGCUAGUUGGGGGUGUAAUGGCCUACCAAGGCUACGAUCGGUAGCGGGGCUGAGAGGAUGAUCAGCCACACUGGGACGGAGGCAUGGCCCAGACACCUGGGGGUGGCAGCAGUCGGGAAUAUUUGAGAAGGGGCGCAGGGGGGAUACAGCCAAACCGCGGGGGAGAAGAAGCCCUCCUGGUUGUGAAGGCCUUUAGGUGUGAAAGAAGAGCAACAGUUUAAACCCGCGAAGUUCUGACGGGACCCAGAGAAAAAGCACCGGCUAACUUCGGG
rnacentral:rRNA from 1 species